CCAGGAGGUUGGCUUAGAAGCAGCCAUCCUUGAAAGAGUGCGUAAUAGCUCACUGGUCGAGUGGUUCUGCGCCGAUAAUGUAGCGGGGCUUAAGUACACCGCCGAAACCGCGGCAACACACUUGGUGUGUUGGGUAGGGGAGCGUCGUGCAUGUGUUGAAGCCAGCUGGUGACAGGUGGUGGAGUGUGUGCGAGUGAGAAUGCAGGCAUGAGUAACGAUUGAUGUGUGAGAAACAUAUCCGCCGGAUGACUAAGGGUUCCUGGGUGAAGUUUGUCUUCCCAGGGUGAGUCGGGGCCUAAGGCGAGGCCGACAGGCGUAGUCGAUGGAUGACGGGUUGAUAUUCCCGUACCCGUGUGCGUGCGACAAGUGAUGAAUCUUAUGGUACUAACCACCCGCUUGUUUCUGCUGAUCUUUUUGGUUGGUGGUUUCAGGUGCGUGGGAUCUUCGUGGGUAGUAGUCAAGUGAUGGGGUGACGCAGAGUGGUAGCUAGGCUUCCUUAUUGGAUUGGAGUGCAAGCGUGUGGCCUGUGGGGUUGGGAAAUCCGCCCCACAUGAGGGUGAGGCGUGAUGCGGACACCAUUUGUGGUGGUAGUUAGUGUGCCUGUGCUGUCUAGAAAAGCCUCUAGCGAGUGCGUGCAUGGCCCGUACCGGAAACCGACACAGGUGGUCAGGUAGAGAAUACUAAGGCGUUCGGGUGAACUGUGGUUAAGGAACUCGGCAAAAUGCCCCCGUAACUUCGGGAGAAGGGGGACCAUUACUGGUUGCUGACAGCAUGAUGGCUGGUGGUGGUCGCAGAGGAGAGAGGGAAGCGACUGUUUAUUAAAAACACAGGUCCGUGCGAAAACGUGGAAGUUGAGGUAUACGGACUGACGCCUGCCCGGUGCUGGAAGGUUAAGAGGACCCGUGAGCACAUCUUGUGUGUGCGAGGCGGAGAAUUGAAGCCCCAGUAAACGGCGGUGGUAACUAUAACCAUCCUAAGGUAGCGAAAUUCCUUGUCGGGUAAGUUCCGACCUGCACGAAUGGCGUAACGACUUCCCUGCUGUCUCAACCACAGGCCCGGUGAAAUUGCAGUACGAGUAAAGAUGCUCGUUUCGCGCGGCAGGACGAAAAGACCCCGGGACCUUUACUAUAGCUUGGUAUUGGUGUUUGGUCAUGCUUGUGUAGGAUAGGUGGGAGACUGUGAAGCCGCAACGCUAGUUGUGGUGGAGUCGCAGGUGAAAUACCACUCUGGUGUGAUUGGGUACCUGAACCUUGGCCCGUGAUCCGGGUUGGGGACAGUGCCUGGUGGGUAGUUUAACUGGGGCGGUUGCCUCCUAAAUGGUAACGGAGGCGCCCAAAGGUUUCCUCAGUCUGGUUGGCAAUCAGAUGGUGAGUGUAAGUGUAUAAGGGAGCUUGACUGUGACACUGACGGGUGGAGCAGGUGCGAAAGCAGGGACUAGUGAUCCGGCACCUACGUGUGGUUGUGGUGUCGCUCAACGGAUAAAAGGUACCCCGGGGAUAACAGGCUGAUCUUCCCCAAGAGUUCAUAUCGACGGGAUGGUUUGGCACCUCGAUGUCGGCUCGUCGCAUCCUGGGGCUGGAGUAGGUCCCAAGGGUUGGGCUGUUCGCCCAUUAAAGCGGCACGCGAGCUGGGUUUAGAACGUCGUGAGACAGUUCGGUCUCUAUCCGCCGCGCGCGUUGAAACUUGAAGAAGGCUGUCCCUAGUACGAGAGGACCGGGAUGGACGUACCUCUGGUAUGCCAGUUGUCACGCCAGUGGCAUGGCUGGUUAGCUACGUGCGGGAGGGAUAACCGCUGAAAGCAUCUAAGCGGGAAGCCUGUUUUGAGAUGAGGUUUCUGUUGAGGUUCCCUAUAGAUGAUGGGGUUGAUAGGCCAGGGCUGUGAGCAUGGUGACGUGUUGUAAGGUGACUGGUACUAAUAUACCGACACAAAAUA
rnacentral:rRNA from 1 species